CCGACAUUCGAGGUAAUUAACUGACUUAUUUCAUGAUUGAAGAGGUUUUCUAACAAAGUUUUAUUCUUUUUUUUCGAUUUCGACAAGUAUUUUUCUAGUUUUCUCGCUUAUUUCUUGACUAAUUAGGGCUGUAUGGUAUUCAAGGGCAUUAUGCUAUAUACAGCCCGCGGUACAUCAAAGAAAACCGAGUCAAUCAUGAAAUAACAGCCUUUACUGUCGUUGUGGAAACAAGGAA